UACGAAGGGGGCUAGCGUUGCUCGGAAUCACGGGGCGUAAAGCGCACGUAGGCGGACUCUUAAGUCAGGGGGGAAAUCCUGGAGCUCAACUCCAGAACUGCCUUUGAUACUGGGAGUCUUGAGUUCGGGAGAGGUGAGUGGAACUGCGAGUGUAGAGGUGAAAUUCGUAGAUAUUCGCAAGAACACCAGUGGCGAAGGCGGCUCACUGGCCCGAUACUGACGCUGAGGUGCGAAAGCGUGGGGAGCAAACAGG
rnacentral:rRNA from 1 species